UACGGAGGGAGCUAGCGUUGUUCGGAAUUACUGGGCGUAAAGGGCUCGUAGGCGGCCAACUAAGUCGGAUGUGAAAUCCCCAGGCUCAACUUGGGAACUGCAUCCGAUACUGGAUGGCUUGAAUCCGGGAGAGGGAUGCAGAAUUCCAGGUGUAGCGGUGAAAUGCGUAGAUAUCUGGAGGAAUACCGGUGGCGAAGGCGGCAUCCUGGACCGGCAUUGACGCUGAUGAGCGAAAGCUAGGGGAGCAAACGGG
rnacentral:rRNA from 1 species